UACUCUGUAUGCCCUUAGGUCAAUUAAUCGGCUGAAUAGAUAACGGCUACCAUUUACUCGCAGUAAAACCGCAGUAUGACCUUAUCAGUUUGAGAAUUAGAACUGCUGAGACCUAGUUGUAUACUUCGUUUGCGCUAAAAGUGUAACGCGACUGCUCUAAUAAAAUGGAUUACUGCAACAUUUUAUACAUUGAUGCUGCUAGGACGCAUGACAUUUUUUGUUGAUACGAUACUAUUGUGUCUACCCUAGAAAAGAAAUAUUUAAAAUUACAGAACAAUAAACAGUAUUGGUUUAAGGAAGAUGGAAUUGAAUAACAAAAAGGAUCCCUUGAAAGACACGUUUACAUGGGUAUAUGACGAAGAGCCUCAUGCAACUCGAAGGAGAGAGAUUCUACGAGAGCAUCCUGAAAUACGCAGCUUGUUUGGAAUAGACACCAAGUCCAAGUAUUGGAUUACACUCACAGUAUCUCUGCAAGUGCUCACGGCAGUGUUCAUGAGAGACGCGUCAUGGACAUUUCUACUGAUAACGUCAUACAUCUGGGGAGGCACCUUGAACCAUUCUCUGUCGCUGGGUAUUCAUGAGUUGUCUCACAAUCUGAUGUUCUCAAAACCAAUUCAUAACACUUUCUUCAGUUUUUUUGCCAAUCUACCUAUAGCUGUGCCCUACUCAAUAACGUUUCAAAAGUACCAUAUGAUGCACCACCAAUAUCAGGGACAAUACAACAUUGACCCAGACCUACCCAUGGCCUGGGAAGGGUACUUCUUUAACAGUGCCAGUACUAAGGCACUCUUCUUGUUCGCUCAGCCGCUGAUCUACACGCUGGUUCCGCUAGCGAACCAGUACCUGCCAUUCACAUACUUAGAACUCCUACAAAUGGUCAUCCAAUUCACCUUCGACUUUCUUGUUGUUUAUCUUUUUGGCAUUCGAUCGCUGAUUUAUUUGUUAUGCUCAACCUUUUUUGGCUCGUCGUUGCAUCCUAUGGCCGGUCACUUCGUAUCAGAACACUACGAAUGGGUCAAAGGACAGGAGACGUAUUCGUACUACGGCCCCCUAAAUAAAGUCACCUACAACGCCGGCUACCACUAUGAGCACCACGACUUCCCUCGUGUCCCGGGCUCUAGACUGGUCCAUCUCAAGGCUAUUGCGCCGGAGUACUACGACCAUCUGUACAGUCACAAAAGUUGGGUGGCUGUUAUGCUUCGCUUCAUUUUUGAUCCAAGUAUAUCACCCUUUUCGCGCAUCAUCAGACCAAGCAAGCGUGGUUUGUACAAACACUCUUCUAAUACGCACGAAAAACGAACAAAUGAAGUGAAAUAAAACAACUACAAAUAGCUACUGCGUUGUAAUCUAGACAAUUCUCUGUUGAGGAAGCACAGACUACAGCAAUAUGUACGGAUUAAAUUUGCAUAAGCAGCACCCUGUGUGGUGCCAUGUCAAAUUGGCACCUUCAUCGUCGUUUGUACGCAGCGGUCUCCUGUUCGUUGGAUGGGCGGCAACCGACAACUUGAAGACUGUAAACUGCAACGAGGGAAAUUGGUCCUUUCAGAUGUUUUGGCUAAUCGAAGCGGUUCACGCCGUUGGGGUAAUCAUUUUCGCUAAGGCUCUUCUUCACUUCCUCUGUUCGUCGGACAGCUGCUGACAGGCGGCGCCUAAUUGGGUUUAACUUUUUUCGUCUUGACAUCGUUACCGGCCCUUUCGUUAUGUGUGGCUUCAACACGUCCCUGAUUCAGGGGAGGCACCAGCGUCACGACUUGCUCGAUGUUUACCUGGCAUUGUGGACAUUGGUCCGCGGAAGUAUUCUUGAGCGAACGUUCAGAAAGGACAUGGCCACAGGGCUUGAGAGCGACGAACCUGAUAUUACCAGUAGACUCGAGGCCUGAGAUCGGACAGAUAAAUGGGCCGGUGAGUCCGGACUUGACGUUGCUAGAAUUCACCUUGGAAAGCGAUUCUUCGUAUUUAGGAUUAACCGUUAUAUUCAACUUCAAGAUGUCCUGUUAUAGAACGCAAAGCAGGUCAGCUGGCCGAAAGAAGUCGUCCUGUUACUCUAUUUGUUCAGCAGCGCUUCCAGUACGGCCUCUAGGUUAAGCAAAUUUCCGAAGGGAUCGCAACAUAUCGGCAGAGAAAGCGGGAGAGAAGACAGCGCGCAAGUGGACCAACGAAUACGGAGUGCCUCAGAUGGGUCAAGGGUAAUCGAGUGUUUCUUAACUUUGACCUGGUCACUGCGAGUAGGAACUGUACCUCCGUCUGCGCCCAUGAAAAAGAGAACAGAAGACUGGGAAAACCGAAAAAAAAUACAGCUUAUUUCUUACGACCUAAAACUUACAAUACAAAGCAUCCUAAUUUCAUCCGAAUGAAUUCUGUUCAAUUUAAAGCCUUUAUCACCAAGAGUUUGAAAAACCAAUCUACAGAAGGACCCUAAAGGUCAUUGUGUACGUUUUCGUUACCUCAGCCACAUGGGCGUAUUACAACCCGCUGUGUCGUCAGACAACAUUUCAAUUUCAGCAGUAAUCAAACUUGAUGGACAAUUCUCCUAGCCUACACAUAUAUUCUGGUCUAGAGGAUUGCGUACCGGUAACGAACGUGAACACAAAACGUCACCGCCAGACAACUGCUACCCUUACAUUUUUUGGUCGAAAACAGGCAUAAUGAUUGCGCCUUCGAAUUUGUUGCGUUAUAGGUCGAGCUCUAAAAUAUUUUGAAGUGGGGUUUGAUUUAUUUCCUUUCUUGAGAUAUACACCUGUGUAUCGUCUGCUCGCAUUGUCUGCUGUUGACGCUUUUAUGGAGUAUUGUACAGGUGGCAAUGUCGCAAUUGUCGGCGGAGGCCAACUCGCCUUGAUGAUGGUUCAAGCUGCUAAUCGAAUAGGUGUAAAAACGACUGUUCUGACUAAGGAAAGUGAUUGUCCAUGCUCGUUUAUUGAUACUAAUUUAUCAUUAUUUGAUCCAUCUUAUUUCUCUUCCAGUUGGGGGAACAAAGCAAUUGAAGAGCUAGACCCCCCUCCUAGUGUCGUCACGUUCGACUACGAAGGCGUAGAUGUUAGUGGGGCGAGCCGUAAUUUACCGGGAUAUAUUAUUUGCCCAUCGGUCGAAUGUCUUUCAAUAAUUCAAAAUAAAUUUAAACAGAAGACGUUUUUUAAAGAGAAAGGCAUCCCUACUGCGCAAUUUAGUUCAAUACAGAAGACCUAUGAAAGGGGGGUAUUUCCCUUCCUUAUCAAGUCUAAUUUCGGAAGUUAUGAUGGUCGUGGCGUAAUUUUCGUGGGUUCCAAAUCAGAAAUGCCUGCAAUGGAAGAACUUGAUAACCAUUAUGUUGAAGAAUAUGUGAAUUUCGAUAAAGAGCUUUCAGUGAUAGUUGCUAGACGUCGCUGCCCCGUUAAAGAUGCGCCUGACUUAACGGAUUUUGAUCAAUCAGGUUUUCGAUUUGUAAAACAUGAAGUGGAAGUCUUCAAUUAUCCUGUCACUGAAUCGUUCCACUGCAACGGUAUUCUGCACGUUUCAAAGGCACCAGCCGAUAUACACCCGUCUAUCAAAAGGGAGGCCGAAGAGCUUGCCUGCAGAACUAUUGCGGCGUUACCCGUUGAACGCGGGCCAGACGGCAAAGACACAACUGCUGGGAUCUUCGGCGUUGAGCUCUUCUUGGUUUUUGAUACUAAAGAAGAUAAAGAGAGCAGCAAACCUAAUUUCAAACUCUUUGUUAACGAAAUUUGCUGCCGCCCUCACAACACCGGUCACUACACUAUGGAUGCUUGUCUUGUUUCCCAAUUUGAGCAACACCUACGGUGUAUUCUUUCUAUUCCUCUGAAGCCCAUGGUUAUGAGGGAAAAGUACGCAUUGAUGAUCAACGCCUUGGGAAAUUCCAAACUAGGCAUCCAGUCUCUGUUAGAUUGCUUUCAGAAAUCAGAGACAUUGCCAGCAAAUGUUCAUGUCUAUACAUAUAGAAAGAAAUUCAUGGAAGGUCGAAAAUUGGGACACAUCAAUAUAGUAGGGUCUACUCUUGAAGCAAUUAAGGAAGGUUGGUCUCACGUAAUGAAAUACAAAUGGUUUGGAGACGACUUUUUGAAAACUCUAGACCAAGAAGCGUUACUUAGAUGGGAGGAAGCCACCAAUUCGCGGGCUACAAAAAUACAUAACGCUGUUGAUAAUCAACCUCUUGUUAGCAUCAUCAUGGGAUCUAUUUCUGAUUUGGAAGUUAUGACAGGUGCAUCAUCGUUGCUGUCAAGCAUGCAAAUUCCCUUCGAAAUGACCAUUGUCUCUGCUCACCGUACUCCAGAGAGACUGUACGAAUAUGCAUCAUCCGUCAUGAAGAGGGGCAUUAAGGUUGUCAUUGCCGGCGCGGGGGGCGCUGCUCACCUCCCGGGCAUGGUUUCCUCCUUGACAUCUGUACCGGUCAUAGGGGUUCCUGUCAAGUCAAGGGCUCUUCUUGGAAUCGACUCAUUGCUCAGCAUCGUCCAAAUGCCACCGGAUAUUCCGGUUGCUACCAUGGCUAUUGAUAAUUCGAAGAACGCUGCGGUACUAGCAGCCAGGAUUCUGGGCUUGAGCAAUCCAGCUAUUCUCGAUGCAGUAAAGGCUUUCGAACAAGCAUCCAAAGACAAGGUGUUUGAAUCUAUUAAACAGAUAGAUGAAAAAAAGCCCAAUUAAUAUCUGCGCGGCCAGCCGAAUUGGGCAAUAAACGCGCUCACUAAUGUGGGCCGUUGUAAGAUGCAACACAAUACGCGUUCCUAGCAAGAUAACAUCAUAAAAAAAAA